GAACGCUAUCGGUAUGCUUAACACAUGCAAGUCGAACGGACUAAUUGGGGCUUGCUCCAAUUAGUUAGUGGCAGACGGGUGAGUAACAUGUGGGAAUCUACCCAUCAGUACGGAAUAACUUUUAGAAAUAAAAGCUAAUACCGUAUAUUCUCUACGGAGGAAAGAUUUAUCGCUGAUGGAUGAGCCCGCGUCAGAUUAGGUAGUUGGUGAGGUAAUGGCUCACCAAGCCGACGAUCUGUAGCUGGUCUGAGAGGAUGAUCAGCCACACUGGGACUGAGACACGGCC
rnacentral:rRNA from 1 species